rnacentral:rRNA from 1 species
UAAGAAGGGUGCAAGCGUUAAUCGGAAUUACUGGGCGUAAAGCGCGCGUAGGUGGUUCGUUAAGUUGGAUGUGAAAGCCCCGGGCUCAACCUGGGAACUGCAUCCAAAACUGGCGAGCUAGAGUAUGGCAGAGGGUGGUGGAAUUUCCUGGGUAGCGGUGAAAUGCGUAGAUAUAGGAAGGAACACCAGGGGAGAAGGCGACCACCUGUGCUAAUACUUACACUGAAGUGCGACCGCGUUGGGCGCACACAGGAGUAGAU